CAUUAGCCCGGAUGGAAGCGGCAUCCUUUUUUGUCUUUAACUUGUUUCAAGACAAAAAAGAUAUAGCGGACAGCGGGACACGAG
rnacentral:sRNA from 1 species